UACGUAGGGUGCGAGCGUUGUCCGGAAUUAUUGGGCGUAAAGGGCUCGUAGGCGGUUUGUCGCGUCGGGAGUGAAAACCUUGGGCUUAACUCAGGGCUUGCUUUCGAUACGGGCAGACUAGAGGUAUGCAGGGGAGAACGGAAUUCCUGGUGUAGCGGUGAAAUGCGCAGAUAUCGGGAGGAACACCAAUGGCGAAGGCAGCUCGCUGGGACGGUACUGACGCUGAGACGCGAAAGCGUGGGGAGCAAACAGG
rnacentral:rRNA from 1 species